AUUUACCACUAAUCCAAACCGAAUUGAGCCAAAGCACAUCAAAUUAUUUAUUUGUUGCCAUAUUUGUUUACAUUUCUUUCAAAUCACAUGACUUUGGAAAAUACAUUUUAAGCAUGUAUCCAAUGAGAGAGAGCACAGGCCCUAGUUGUGCAAUGACAGAAAUCUGAUAACCCCCAUUAAUCUCCAUAAUAACAUUCACUCAGUUGCUCUUGUGCAACAUUUGCGUAGCAGAGUUGAGAGACCAAAAUCUGCUUGGAAUUCUCUGCUGCUCACACAGGAAUAACACACUCACCAUGGAGGUGCACAUGCAUUCUCUUCUCUUUCUGAUGCUGGGUGUGUGCUGUUCAGGGAGAGAACAGAAAGAGAAUGCUGAUGGAAACAAACUCAAGAAAUCAACAUACAAAUUUUUAGGUGGCGCUAGGUCAAAGGACUACCUCAACCCUGAUAUUUCAAAGUACAGUCAAUCUCAAUAUUAAGUCAUUAUCAAAACCUUGUAGCAUAAAAAGUGAUGCUUAUGGGAAUAAAUAUUAGC
ensembl:lncRNA